rnacentral:rRNA from 1 species
UACGUAGGGUGCAAGCGUUGUCCGGAAUUAUUGGGCGUAAAGAGCGUGUAGGCGGCCCGAUUAGUCCGCUGUGAAAGUCCAGGGCUCAACCCUGGAAUGCCGGUGGAUACUGUCGGGCUAGAGUACGGAAGGGGCGAGUGGAAUUCCUGGUGUAGCGGUGAAAUGCGCAGAUAUCAGGAGGAACACCAAUGGCGAAGGCAGCUCGCUGGGACGUGACUGACGCUGAGACGCGAAAGCGUGGGGAGCAAACAGG